CCCUAGCCCAGAUGGAAACGGCAUCCUUUUUCUUUUUCCUUUAAAAAGAAAAAGAUAUAGUGGACAGCUGGAUAAAGC
rnacentral:sRNA from 1 species